AUAGCAUAUCAAUAAGCGGAGGAAAAGAAACCAACAGGGAUUGCCCCAGUAACGGCGAGUGAAGCGGCAACAGCUCAAAUUUGAAAUCUGGCCCCCGGGUCCGAGUUGUAAUUUGUAGAGGAUGCUUUUGGCGAGGUGCCUUCCGAGUUCCCUGGAACGGGACGCCAUAGAGGGUGAGAGCCCCGUCUGGUCGGACACCGAGCCUCUGUAAAGCUCCUUCGACGAGUCGAGUAGUUUGGGAAUGCUGCUCAAAAUGGGAGGUAUAUGUCUUCUAAAGCUAAAUAUUGGCCAGAGACCGAUAGCGCACAAGUAGAGUGAUCGAAAGAUGAAAAGCACUUUGAAAAGAGGGUUAAAAAGUACGUGAAAUUGUUGAAAGGGAAGCGCCUAUGACCAGACUUGGGCCCGGUGAAUCAUCCAGCGUUCUCGCUGGUGCACUUUGCCGGGCACAGGCCAGCAUCAGUUUGGCGCGGGGGAGAAAGGCUCUGGGAAUGUGGCUCCUCCGGGAGUGUUAUAGCCCACUGCGUAAUACCCUGCGCCGGACUGAGGUACGCGCAUUGCAAGGAUGCUGGCGUAAUGGUCAUCAGCGACCCGUCUUGAAACACGGACCAAGGAGUCGUCUUCGUAUGCGAGUGUUCGGGUGUCAAACCCCUACGCGUAAUGAAAGUGAACGCAGGUGAGAGCUUCGGCGCAUCAUCGACCGAUCCUGAUGUUCUCGGAUGGAUUUGAGUAAGAGCAUACGGGGCCGGACCCGAAAGAAGGUGAACUAUGCCUGUAUAGGGUGAAGCCAGAGGAAACUCUGGUGGAGGCUCGCAGCGGUUCUGACGUGCGAAUCGAUCGUCAAAUAUGGGCAUGGGGGCGAAAGACUAAUCGAACCUUCUAGUAGCUGGUUCG
rnacentral:rRNA from 1 species